UGAAAAUAACAUACAGGCAAUGGUUAUACUGAUUUUGCUAAAAUGAUGGCAGAUAUUGCUACAAUGAUAGCAUUCAAAUAAACAGGGAAAUCUUAAAAUUAAACUGUAAUUUUUUAACUAAAAUCACUACUCUGCUUCAUUCAAUCAGUUUACCACAAAAUAUAAUUGAAAAUCCAAAAUGCAAAGACUAACUGGUAUUUCUGUUGUCCAAAGAACAGGAAAAGAAAAGUUACAUGCCUUCAAUUUAUUUUAAGCAAAGAAUAAGCGGAAGCCGAUUGCUUUCAUUUUCAAUUUUUGGUCUGCCCUGCUCCAAAGCCAACUAUCUUGCCCUUGUUCCUAGCAAAGAAUCAAUAAAGUUCACAAAAGAUAUUAGGGAAAGAUAAGAAAGAAAAUGAAAUAUUGGGAAAUUUCAAUUCCUUAAUUCCUUGAGCAAAGAUAACCAUCAAAAGUAUAUCAUCUAACUUGGAGAUAUUUUUCACCUCUUUGAUUGUCAUUCUUCCUUACAAGCAAAAGGAAAAAAAAAAAUGGUCGAGGCUAUUGUUUCCUUUGCCAUUGAAAGAAUUGCUGAUGCAGUUGUUCGUGAAGCAAGCUCAUUUUAUGGUGUGAGGGAUGAAGUUGAGCAGUUGCAAACUGAAUUGAAGCGGAUUCAGUGCUUCUUGAAAGAUGCAGACAGCAAGCAGGAUCAAGAUGAGCGUGUUCGCAAUUGCAUAGCUGAAAUCAGAGACAUAGCAUACGAGGCAGAGGAUGUCAUCGAUACCUUUCUUCUCAAAGCUGCAACUGGACCUAGAAAAGGAAUAUGGAGACUCAUCAAGAGAGCUACCUUCAUGGUCAUUAAGGUUCCUUAUCUCCAUGAAAUUGGAACCCAGAUCAAAUCUAUCCAAGCUAAGAUAGGGAGUGUCUCUACAAGCAUGCUGACUUACGGAAUCAAAUUUACUGCAGGAGAGGGGUCUAGAUCUACAAGUGAGAUGCAACAGCGAUUGAGAAGAUCAUUUCCACAUGAUGAGGAAGAUGAUGUUAUCAGCUUGGAGGCAAGCCUAAGGGAUGUUCAAUCUCAAUUGAUGAUGGAGGAAGAGCAACGCCGUGUUGUUUCUAUAGUUGGAAUGGGAGGGCUAGGUAAAACCACACUUGCCAAGACAAUGUACAAUGACAGUCAUGUGAAGCAACAUUUUGAUUGUCAUUCUUGGUCCUUCAUAUCUCAGCAGUUCUCCACAAGGGAUGUUUUGGUUGGUAUUCUGAUGGAAGUUGCAUCUAAGCAGGAUAAAUUUGAGUUGGUAAAACUGGAAGAGGAGAAGCUUCUUCAAUCGAGGUUGGAGAGGGUAGAAUACGAAGUGGAUAGAAUGGAAGAACAAGAAUUGUCUAAAUUGAUGUCCAAACAAAAGAAAAGGAUGAAAGAAGAACAAUUGUCUGAAUCGAUGUUCAAAUCCAUGUUGAAACAAGAGAAAAGGAUAGCGGAAGAACAAUUGUUUAGAUCGAUGAUGAAACAAAUGAAAGUAGAACCCAUGUUUAAUUCAAUGUUGGAAAGGAUGAGAGAAGAAAAACUAGUUGAAACACUCUUUGAAGUGUUAAAGAGGAAGCGAUACUUGGUGGUUCUUGAUGAUAUUUGGAAGAAUGAAGCUUGGGAUAGUUUAAAACAUGCUUUUCCUUCAAAGGGCAAGGAAGGGAGCAAAGUUUUAUUGACCACUCGGAACAAAGAAGUUGUUUCUUAUGCCGAUCCAUGGAGCUUUACAGUGGAACCGCCUCUUCUAACAAAUGAUGAGGCCUGGGAACUUCUCAGCAGGAAAGCAUUCCCAAAAGCUAUUCUCAUCAAACAUGGUUACUCGCUAAGACAUGAGGAGUUGGGAAGGGAAAUGGUGAAAAAAAUGAGAGGAUUGCCACUAGCAAUUGUUGUAGGAGCCUUAUUGACCACAAAGAAGUCAUUGAAGGAGUGG
rnacentral:misc_RNA from 1 species